UUUGGAUGACAGCCCGAACGCCCUAGCUGCCGUCCGAUUAUCUGCACAAAUCCUAGAGCACGUCUUAGUGCCAAGUCAGCAAAAAAAUUGUUCGGGAUUUUCUUGAACUGACCGAACGGCCACGUCUCCUCCCCCUUCCCUUAUCCAUUCAGCCACACACACAGGCCACUCACACCACAGUAGCAAGGCGGAUGGAGCGGCGCCUCCGGUGAUUCCCAACGGGCAUUGCAGGGGGGGAGCUGCGAUUCCCGGCGUGCACAGCCAGGGAGAGGGGCGAUUCAGGCGGUUCCGGCGGACAACGGAGGCGGAGGCCCGGCGACGAGCUUCCUGGGACAGUGCCAUGGACGCAUACGCGAUUGGGCGACACGAGGUCUCCUCCCCGGCGGCGUCCUCUCGUCGGUGAAGAGGGAGUCGCCCACCACGGGCUCUCGCCGCAGUGUGAGGAGUCGCUGGUGGAGGUCCCGCUCGCGGAGGGGAGCGACGACGAGUCCCCAUGAUUUUGCAGAGGGAGGGGGCGGUGCCGUCUUCAGGUGAGGCGGGGCGUGCCUAUGGCGCCGCCCACGAGCCGGAGGCCCUCCUCAAUUUGCGCAUGCUCGCUUGCUCUUCCACGCCGACGACGAGGAGGACCUCUUCCUCUUCCGAGACGACGACGGGGACCGAUGAGGCGCAAGGUGGAGGCGUCGGUGACGACGGGGCCGGGCUCCGCCUGCUGCAUGCUCACGCAGACAAUAGACGCCAUGGAGCUGAAUUCAAGCCAGCAUGUUGGAUUGGACGAGCCAGUCCUAAUCCGAGGCAACGAGGAGUCGGAGCAAGAGAAGGAAACACCAUCUUAAUCUCACCUUUCUUACCGAGUGUGGCCAUAUCGAUGGGAGUUAUGUGUGAGUUUAAGGUGCAUGCUUAUCCAAUUGCUACCAACCAGACGUGUCUAUUUCUCAUGUAUUUUGCUGGCUGUUAGCCGGGCCCAAGCAAUACGCGUGCAUGUAUCUUCAAAAGAUAAGCAACCGAGUUGUCAACGCCCUUAAACAACGUGUCAGGCAGAUUAGAGGGCUCUGGCCGGAAUAUUUUAUUCAUGCAGAAUAGUAUUGAGGAGUAUUCCUACGUAAAAGCACUCAUGCUAAUGCUUGUGAUUGGCCCUUGUAAUUAGCAUGCCCAUGUAACGUAGUUCUUGCCCGUUGCAUCACUGUCAAAAUAAACAAGCUCAGACUUGUAUAUUUUUCUUUGACCGCAAACUUGUACGUCUGA